rnacentral:rRNA from 1 species
UACGGAGGGAGCUAGCGUUGUUCGGAAUUACUGGGCGUAAAGCGCACGUAGGCGGCGAUUUAAGUCAGAGGUGAAAGCCCGGGGCUCAACCCCGGAAUAGCCUUUGAAACUAGAUUGCUUGAAUCCAGGAGAGGUGAGUGGAAUUCCGAGUGUAGAGGUGAAAUUCGUAGAUAUUCGGAAAGAACACCAGUGGCGAAGGCGGCUCACUGGACUGGUAUUGACGCUGAGGUGCGAAAGCGUGGGGAGCAAACAGG